CGUUCUUUUUUAUUUCUUCUCUCUCUCUCUCUCUCUCUCUCUCGCUGGACGGAGACGACGAAGGAAGACGACGGCGAUGGAUCUAUGGGAGAAGGCUAGGGUUUUCGCGGGGGAGGCGGCGAAGCGGUCGCAGGAGCUGACAAAAGGGGCCGCCAAGUUCUCCCAGGAGUUCGUCUCCGAGACCACCAAGAAGUCCAAGGAGCUCGCUGCCGAGGCUACCAAGAAGGCCGACCUCAUCCGCGCCGAGGCCCUACGCGCCGCAGACCAGAUCAAGACCCUCGCCGUCGACCUCCCCACCCUUCCCAUCUCCCCCCUCGCGCCGGGCGGAUCCGCCACGCCGGACCUGGCCUCGGAUCUCGAGCGGUUCGGCAUCACCGAGGAGCUCCGGGAGUUCGUCAAGGGCAUUACCCUCAGCACCUUCCGCGAUUUCCCUAUGGAAGAUGAACCGGAAAUGUCGGAGGUUCCCACAGUGUCAAAUGUUAGGCAGGAUCUUAAUGAGUGGCAAGCGAGACAUGCUACACUUGUUCUCUCAACAGUUAAGGAAAUCUCCAAGUUUAGAUAUGACCUAUGCCCACGGUAUAUGAAAGAGAGAAAAUUCUGGCGAAUAUAUUUUAUACUUGUAAACAAUUAUGUGGCUCCUUAUGAGAAAAGAUAUACGGAGGAAUUAAAAACAAAGGCGGAACAGAAGCAAAAAGAUAGUGGUAAGGAGAAUACAACUACUCCACCAGCUACUACAGCAGGAGCAAAGGAAACAAAGUUGCAAAGUAAGACUUCCACCUCAUCAAAUACAGAGCAUGAUUUGGAUAUGUUUCUUCUGGGGGAUCUUGGAAGUGAUGAUGAUGGUCCAGAUGAUGGUGGUGAUGGUUUUGAUGACGAUUUUGAUAAGAUUGGAAGCAACUCGGGCUUAGAUAGUGACGAUGAUAAGGCGGCCAAUGCAGCAGAGCAGUGAACAUCAGUUCGAUGAGAAGGAAACCUCAGCUCAAGCGGCUCAAGAGUUCUUGCCUGGCAACACUAACAGUGCCUUACCGCUGAAGUUGGAGUGAGUAAAGCGAAAGGAAGCGGCUUGCCUCCCCGCAACCAGUGAGUGCAACCCGAGGCCCCAUUGCAGCGUCCGGAUGCGUCAUGACCGCGAAUGUGGGGACCAUAUCUGUCCUCGGUGCUUUGGAGUUGGCCUAGGGAAAGUGAAAUGGUGCUGGACCACACCGAGUCAUACCACAACCUACUACAUCCCCAUCCAUGACACUGCAAGGCCUUUCAGAGAAAGCAGCUUCUGCCAAAGUAGGGCCUGACAUCUAGGGGGCCUUGAGGAGACUUGUUGCGGAGCUGGUUAUGCCUGAUGCUCCUCUGCCACAUCCAAGGCAUGGAAAGAUACUCGAAAUGAACAGAAAUCACUCUUCUCGCUCACUGCAAAACUUACCUCGAGCUAUGCUGGUUGCAGGUUCUACAGUAGGCAGGCUCGUCGAUUUUACCAGACCGAUAAUUAACAUCAUAUUUGAAGUGGAUGGCCAACCAAGCGAGUUUCUAUGCAGCUCUCACAAACUAUGUCGGCCAUGUGUCUGAAUGGCCCAUAAGGCAUUCAUAGCUAAAGGACCGGCAUGGCAUGCACGGCCAACCGACACUUUUAAUCGUUCACCCGCGGUAUUCCGUACCAUCCUAUAGCCGACUCUUAUCCUGCUCCUUUCUCUUCCUUCCGAUGUCGGACCAUUUUUCCCUUACUCCACCUUCUCUCUAGUUUCUCUCCAUUUUGCUUUCCUCUUUCUAUUCCUUUGUUCCACUCCUGCCUACUGAGCCGCUAUC